GACUCCGUAGUUCAGUUGGUAGAGUAAUUGACUCUUAAUCAAUGGGUCGGCAGUUCGAACCUGUCCGGGAUCACCA
rnacentral:tRNA from 1 species